rnacentral:misc_RNA from 1 species
CAACCACUCAAGCCUGGCUUGGUAUUGGGAUUUGCGGUUCCGCAGCCCCUAAAAUCAGUGGCGGUGCCGGUGUGGCUCUACGCGUAGUAAUUCUUCUCGCGAUGGAGUUCCCCUGGAGACCUGCCAGAACCCCCCCCAUUUUUACA